rfam:Schistosoma rodhaini strain Burundi genome assembly, scaffold: SROB_scaffold0001551
GUCCAGCUGACGAGUCUCAAAGAGGACGAAACGCGCUUCCUGGAU